UAGGGAAUCUUCGGCAAUGGGGGGAACCCUGACCGAGCAACGCCGCGUGAGUGAAGAAGGUUUUCGGAUCGUAUAGCUCUGUUGUUAAGGAAGAACGAGUGUGAGAAUGGAAAGUUCAUACUGUGACGGUACUUAACCAGAAAGGGACGGCUAACUACGUGCCAGCAGCCGCGGUAAUACGUAGGUCCCGAGCGUUGUCCGGAUUUAUUGGGCGUAAAGCGAGCGCAGGCGGUUAGAUAAGUCUGAAGUUAAAGGCAGUGGCUCAACCAUUGUAGGCUUUGGAAACUGUUUAACUUGAGUGCAGAAGGGGAGAGUGGAAUUCCAUGUGUAGCGGUGAAAUGCGUAGAUAUAUGGAGGAACACCGGUGGCGAAAGCGGCUCUCUGGUCUGUAACUGACGCUGAGGCUCGAAAGCGUGGGGAGCGAACAGG
rnacentral:rRNA from 1 species